UGAGGAGGAGAUGCAGGAGAAUGAUGGGAAGAAGGAGGAGGAAGAGAUGGGGGAGUGGAGAAGGGAGUAGAGAAGAAGAGAAGGCAGAAAGGUAAAAAGACAGAGAAAGGGACCGGGGGUGUAGAAGUCAGGAAACCGUCCAGGACUGUUAGCCUCUGUGCUGGUUCCUCACAGCCUAAAUCUACUCUCCCCUGAUGGAGGACGGGGACCUAGAGCCCACUUGAGUUAGUGCUUGAGAUUUCCAGCUUGUGCUUGAGCUGGGGUGUCUGGCAUGCUGUUUCCACAGGAAAUGAGGGGCCUGAAUAUGGAUGGAACUCCUCACCGAGACCACAAGGGCUGCAGGCCAAAUCUCCAAAUGAAAUCAGGCUGGGGAGAAAUGAACAAGCGAGAUGCAGAAAACAAUGUGAAGAAGAAACUCUGAAGAUACGAAUAAUAAUAGAAAAAAAGCAUUAAAGAAAGCAAUCUCAAAGAUUCAUGGAACUAGUUCAUCAUACCGGCUAGUGAUAUACGGAGCUACGAUCCAAAGGACGGUCUGCCUUCUCCAACGUUCAGCAUCUUCCACAAACUACUUGAAAGUCUAUCCCAAGCCUUAGAAUCUUCAGUGCACUCAUGGAGCAGAACUUGGUGUGCCUGGCUACUGAAAACACAGGCUGCCGCCCCUGCUGGCUGAGAUGUUGGUCUGCCUUCUGGACCCAUUGCUGAGGGUUCAAAGCUGUCUGAAGAGGGCCUGGAGUAGGGGUGUGGCAUUUCUCCAUGCCCGUUGUUAUUUGGUUCAAAUGGGUUUGUCAAGCUGCCUGAGCAUCUUCUCAUCUGCUCGUCUGCCAGAAUCCAAAUUCUAUCUGUGGGUGUAGGGAUUUCAUUCAAGGGUCCUGAAUCUGUGGCUCAUCUGGGCACCCUCUCACCUGUGCCCCUCUGUUGCUGAGGAGUAGUCCCCUGUCUCCCCAUCCCACUCCAAACACAGCUGGGGGAGUGUGUCAGCAGGGCAGGGCAGACAGAUGGGGAUUCAGGCUGCUGUACUGUAGUUAGUUUAUAGCAAUGGCGAACCCCAGAGGCAAUAGCAAUGCAGUCUCACAGAGAUCGGAAAGUUGGAUGACAGGCUCUCUGAUGAAGUGUCUCCUCAGCCUUUGCAGACAAUCUAUGCAGGGGUGUUUUCCUCUAGCCUCUGCCCUUGUUCCCGUCUAGCAUCCUCUGGUUGUCUACCAGGUCCCUUCAUGCCCACAAGCCCUGUCUCUAGUCUUCCUUGCAACUACACGGCAGGGACUCCUUCCUUCACAAAGGGUGAAGGUCAAGAGGAGUGGGGAGGAGGAGGAGCUGUGAACAACUGGUUGUGGGAACCAUGAUGCCAUCUUUUUUCUUAAGGCUUCCCCCCUUUCUUCGCUUCCAACAUUUUUUUCUUCCAGUACCCUGCAGUCUGGCUUGAUGUUGUGCUAGGACAGGUCCUGCCAGAGCAGAGCACCAGCCAAGCCUCCGGGAGGACUUCUGCUUCUAUUGAUAAGUGCCCUAUCUUUUUCCUCCCCUCAGGCAGGGUGGAGAUGCCCUCCCUUCAGAGCCAGGGAAUUAAAACAGGGAGCUGGGCCUUGGCAACUGGCCUCCUCUCUGGCACUAGGCCUGCACCGUCUCUAUGGGUUGCUCUCUCAGACUCACUGC